rnacentral:rRNA from 1 species
UACGUAGGUGACCAGCGUUGUCCGGAUUUACUGGGCGUAAAGAGCGCGCAGGCGGUCGUUUCAAGUCGAGUGUGAAAGCCCCCGGCUCAACUGGGGAGGGUCAUUCGAUACUGAUCGACUCGAAGGCAGGAGAGGGUAGUGGAAUUUCCGGUGUAGUGGUGAAAUGCGUAGAUAUCGGGAGGAACACCAGUGGCGAAGGCGACUACCUGGCCUGUUCUUGACGCUGAGGCGCGAAAGCUAGGGGAGCAAACGGG